rnacentral:rRNA from 1 species
AAUAGUUAAUUUAUUUAUUUAUUUUUUGGUUAUUAAAUUUUAAUAAAAAUAAUUUUUUUGAAUUUUGUUUUAGUAUAUUUUAUAGAAAAAAUAAAUUUAUUAUAGUAUAUUAGUAUUGUGAAAGAAUAUUGAAAUAUUUUGAAAAUUAAAUUUUAAGAAAGAAAUAUUUAUUUUAUGUACCUUUUGUAUCAGGGUUUAUUAAAUAAGUUUUAUUUAUUAUAAAUUUCUCGAAUUUAAAAGAGUUAAUAAAUUAUUAAAGUUAAUGUUGUAUAAUUAUUUUAAAUAAUUUGUUGGUAAUGAAAUGUUAUUCGUUUUUAAAUAUAUCUAGUUUUUUAAGAAAUAAAUUUAAUUUAUUUAUUUUUAAUAUAAUAUUUAUAUAUAUUUAUAUAAUUAUAUUAUUUAUUAAUAAAAAUAUAUUAGGGGAUAAGCUUUAAUUUAUUGUUUAUAAUAAUUUGGGUUAAUUUUUAAUUGUAGGGUUAGAAAUAUCUAUCAAUAAUAAGUUUGUUUUAAUUUAUAAAUUAAUUUUUUUAUUUUUUUUUAUUUAGAUUUUAUAUUAAAAUAAUUAUUUUAAUAAUUUUAAUUAUGAAAUAAUGAUAAAAUUAGUAUAAAUUUAUAUUUAAUUUUUUUUUAUUAAAGAUUAAAUUAAGGAAUUCAGCAAAAUAUAUACUCACCUGUUUAACAAAAACAUGUCUUUUUGAUUAUAAUUUAAAGUCUGGCCUGCCCACUGAAAAAUUUGAAGGGCCGCGGUAUUUUGACUGUGCAAAGGUAGCAUAAUCAUUAGUCUUUUAAUUGGAGGCUUGUAUGAAUGGUUGGAUGAAGUAUUAACUGUCUCAAUUUAAUAAAUUAAAGAAUUUUAUUUUUAAGUUAAAAAGCUUAAAUAAUAUUAGAGGACGAGAAGACCCUAUAGAUCUUUAUAAUUUUUUUAUUAAUAAUUUUGUAGAUAAAAUUUUAUUUUUAGUAUAAUUAAUUAUUUUAUUGGGGUGAUGAAAAAAUUUGAUUAACUUUUUUUAUAGUUUAACAAAAAUAUUUGAAUUUUUGAUCCAUUAUUAGUGAUUAUAAGAUUAAGUUACCUUAGGGAUAACAGCGUAAUUUUUUUGGAAAGUUCAUAUUUAUAAAAAAGAUUGCGACCUCGAUGUUGAAUUAAAGGUUAUUUUAGGUGUAGAAGUUUAAAAUUUGGGUCUGUUCGACCUUUAGCCCUUUACAUGAUUUGAGUUCAAACCGGUGUAAGCCAGGUUGGUUUCUAUCCUUAAUUAAGUGAAAUAUUUUAGUACGAAAGGACCAAAUAUUUAAAUUAUAUUUUUAUUAUUGAAUAAAAUUAAU